CCGGCAACGGUGAAACUCAAAGGAAUUGACGGGGGCCCGCACAAGCGGAGGAACAUGUGGUUUAAUUCGAUGAUACGCGAGGAACUUUACCCGGGCUCAAACGACGGAUGGAUGUCUCUGAAAGGAGGCAGUCCUACGGGACAUCCGUCGAGGUGCUGCAUGGUUGUCGUCAGCUCGUGCCGUGAGGUGUCGGCUUAAGUGCCAUAACGAGCGCAACCCCCAUCGCCAGUUACCAGCAGGUAAAGUUGGGGACUCUGGCGAGACUGCCGGCGCAAGCUGUGAGGAAGGCGGGGAUGACGUCAAAUCAGCACGGCCCUUACGUCCGGGGCGACACACGUGUUACAAUGGCAGGUACAGAGAGAAGCGAUGCGGCGACGCAGAGCGGAACUUCAAAGCCUGUCUCAGUUCGGAUUGGAGUCUGCAACCCGACUCCAUGAAGCUGGAUUCGCUAGUAAUCGCGCAUCAGCCACGGCGCGGUGAAUACGUUCCCGGGCCUUGUACACACCGCCCGUCAAGCCAUGGAAGCCGGGAGUGCCUGAAGUGUGCAACCGCAAGGAGCGCCCUAAGGUAAAACCGGUGACUGGGGCUAAGUCGUAACAAGGUAACCGU
rnacentral:rRNA from 1 species